UACGUAGGUGGCAAGCGUUGUCCGGAUUUAUUGGGUUUAAAGGGUGCGUAGGCGGUCAAGUAAGUCAGCGGUGAAAUCCGGCAGCUCAACUGUCGAUGUGCCGUUGAUACUGCAUGACUUGAGUACUGAUGAGGUAGGCGGAAUUGACGGUGUAGCGGUGAAAUGCUUAGAUAUCGUCAAGAACACCGAUAGCGAAGGCAGCUUACUAAGCAGUAACUGACGCUGAUGCACGAAAGUGUGGGGAUCAAACAGGA
rnacentral:rRNA from 1 species